GCGGGACACUGAACGUGAAUGGGGAGUACUCGCCUGCCGAAGAUUCGGUCAGAACGGGAGUCCACGCUGAAAGCCCACCCCUUUAGGGGUGGGUUAGCUUACCUGUAGAAGUCC
rnacentral:sRNA from 1 species